GCAUAGAGAGUUCCUGGGCCAGGGAUCAGAUCUGAGGAUCUGAGCAGCAGUUUCCAUCUAUGCUGCAGCUGUGGCAAUGCCAGAUUCUUUAAGCCACUUUGCUGUGCAGAGGAUCAAACCUGUAUUCUGGCGCUGCAGAGACGCCGCACAUUCCCGCAGAUUCCCUUGCGCCACAGUGGGAACUCUUGAAAACCACUAAUCUUUAAAUAGAUGUUAAAUAUAUUGAAAUUGCAAUUUAAAAUACUAAAUAAAAACAUAUAUAUACAUCUAAAUGAUUUUUGAAUUUAUAUACAAAACAAGUUGCUGAAUAUCUCUCUAAAUGUGAAUAAUAUCAAUUAGAUAAAUGAAUGAAUAAAACAAUGAAUUUUUUGUAAUUUAAAAUAUAAUUGGUGACAAAGUUUUCAUUUAUCCUUCUAACACAUGUAGGCAAUUCCCAAAACAUUUGAGAUGAAAUUUUGAUUGAAAUGACUUGCGUACUUCUAUAGGACUACUUAUAAAAUUAUCAUUGAUUACACAUAUUUGAAUCUGUUAUGAGUAAACCAAUAAAAAUAAAUUCUGGACAUAUUUUAAGUUUUGCUAAGAAGUAUCAGAUCAAAAAUAUCCUUGCUUUGAGUCUGAUCUUUCAAGCUGUUCUAAUUACCUUUUUAUAUGCUACCCCCCCACACACACUGAAUCUCCUUUAAUUUCAAUAUUGUGAACUUUUACAUAGUAGAUCCACAAAUAAUAUAUGUUGAUUAACAGAUAUACUGAUUGAAAAUGAAGGCAAAUUUAGACACUUAAAACAAAUUUCAUUUUCUCUGCAUUAAGGAAGCAUUGUCUUAAUCAAUUCAACUAAAUUGAGAUGUUCCAUAAAGUACUUCAUGUAAUUAUCUUGCUUUCCUCAAACUGUUAUCUUAGUACACAUGAUUUUAUUACACAAAAAAUGAGUAAAACUGGAAAUUCAGAAUCUCAAAUCCUUAACAAAUUAAAACGCCACAUAUAGUUUACUAAAUUAUUUAAAAUAUUGCUAUAAAAUAGAAAUAUUAUGUCUAAAAGUUGGUCUUUGGAAACAGUAAUAUAAAUAUUAAAAAUAACAUUAUUAAAAUAUUAUUUUUAUUCUCUCAUGUAUUAAGAAGUAAUUCAUCCACUUGUUCUUCAAUUCAAAACAUACAUUUUGGGCAAUAUGAAACAAGGAACACUAAAGCAGGUAAGACAGUCCUUUUUCCGAAGGACUUUUCAUUUGUAAUGAGAAUAAUAUUUGGAAAAUAAAGAAUGCUUAUUCAUCCUUAAGACUGCAGGUCCAGCUAUCUCUAGGCUCACAUUUCAGAAGGCAAGCCUAGGGGAUUCAGCUUAGAGGGCUUCCUCGCAGCAUACUAUUUAAGCAGUCUCAAUGGAACCUGCAAUGACUUCCACUCCCACAUACUCCAGUCUUUCCAACAUCCCAUUUGUGUACAAAAACGCAGACCAUGUUUUCAUAGCUAAUGUGUUUACAGAGAUAUGACUAAUGAUACACAAUAUAGUUCUCUGGACUAGAAACAAUAAGGCUAUAACCUUUUAGCUUUUAGCUUCAUUUAUAGGACAUGUAUACCAUCUCUCCGUGACAAUAUCAUUAUUUUACUGAUAUCAAAAUG
ensembl:lncRNA